rnacentral:rRNA from 1 species
AGAGUUUGAUCCUGGCUCAGGAUGAACGCUGGCGGCAUGCCUAAUACAUGCAAGUCGAACGAGAGGAAGGAAAGCUUGCUUUUCUGAAUCUAGUGGCGAACGGGUGAGUAACACGUAGGUAACCUGCCCAUGUGCCCGGGAUAACUUCUGGAAACGGAUGCUAAAACCGGAUAGGUAGCAGACAAGCAUUUGACUGCUAUUAAAGUGGCUAUGGCCAUGAACAUGGAUGGACCUGCGGUGCAUUAGCUAGUUGGUGAGGUAACGGCCCACCAAGGCGACGAUGCAUAGCCGGCCUGAGAGGGCGGACGGCCACAUUGGGACUGAGACACGGCCCAAACUCCUACGGGAGGCAGCAGUAGGGAAUUUUCGUCAAUGGGGGGAACCCUGAACGAGCAAUGCCGCGUGAGUGAGGAAGGUCUUCGGAUCGUAAAGCUCUGUUGUAAGAGAAAAACGGCACUCAUAGGGAAUGAUGAGUGAGUGAUGGUAUCUUACCAGAAAGUCACGGCUAACUACGUGCCAGCAGCCGCGGUAAUACGUAGGUGGCGAGCGUUAUCCGGAAUGAUUGGGCGUAAAGGGUGCGUAGGUGGCAGAUCAAGUCUGGAGUAAAAGGUAUGGGCUCAACCCGUACUGGCUCUGGAAACUGAUCAGCUAGAGAACAGAAGAGGACGGCGGAACUCCAUGUGUAGCGGUAAAAUGCGUAGAUAUAUGGAAGAACACCGGUGGCGAAGGCGGCCGUCUGGUCUGGAUUCUGACACUGAAGCACGAAAGCGUGGGGAGCAAAUAGGAUUAGAUACCCUAGUAGUCCACGCCGUAAACGAUGAGAACUAGGUGUUGGGGGAAUAACUCAGUGCCGCAGUUAACGCAAUAAGUUCUCCGCCUGGGGAGUAUGCACGCAAGUGUGAAACUCAAAGGAAUUGACGGGGGCCCGCACAAGCGGUGGAGUAUGUGGUUUAAUUCGACGCAACGCGAAGAACCUUACCAGGGCUUGACAUUGAGCGCCAUACUAAGAGAUUAGUAGUUCCCUUCGGGGACGUGAAAACAGGUGGUGCAUGGCUGUCGUCAGCUCGUGUCGUGAGAUGUUGGGUUAAGUCCCGCAACGAGCGCAACCC